rnacentral:rRNA from 1 species
AAACUUCAACAACGGAUCUCUUGGUUCCCGCAUCGAUGAAGAACGCAGCGAAAUGCGAAAAUUAAUGUGAAUUGCAGAAUUCCGUGAAUCAUCGAGUCUUUGAACGCACAUUGCGCCCCUUUGGUAUUCCGAAGGGCAUGCCUGUUCGAGCGUCAUUG